ACGCUCGACACCUACUGGAGGCAGCAGUGGGGAAUAUUGCACAAUGGGGGAAACCCUGAUGCAGCGACGCCGCGUGGAGGAAGAAGGUCUUCGGAUUGUAAACUCCUGUUGUUGGGGAAAAAGAGGAUGGUACCCAACAAGGAAGUGACGGCUAACUACGUGCCGGCAGCCGCGGUAAUCUGAGCGGGCUGGCAAGGC
rnacentral:rRNA from 1 species